GAUGAACGCUGGCGGCGUGCUUAACACAUGCAAGUCGAACGAUGAAGCCCAGCUUGCUGGGUGGAUUAGUGGCGAACGGGUGAGUAACACGUGAGUAACCUGCCCUUAACUCUGGGAUAAGCCUGGGAAACUGGGUCUAAUACCGGAUAGGAGCGUCCACCGCAUGGUGGGUGUUGGAAAGAUUUAUCGGUUUUGGAUGGACUCGCGGCCUAUCAGCUUGUUGGUGGGGUAAUGGCUCACCAAGGCGACGACGGGUAGCCGGCCUGAGAGGGUGACCGGCGGCCUUGGAGGGGAAACACGCACACUGGUACUAAGAGAGGGAGCAGUCGCGUACGGGGGACAAUAGGGGGAAAUAUUGUACAAUGGGCGCGAGCGUGAGGAAGAGGCGCAGCGAGAGUAAUGACGGUCUUGGGGUUAUAAACCGCUGUCAGUAAAGAAGAAGCGAUUGUGACGGUACCUGCAGAAGAAGCACCGGCUAACUACGUG
rnacentral:rRNA from 1 species